rnacentral:lncRNA from 1 species
CUUCUCUUCUGAGAUGUUCUCCAAGCCUUAGGCAUUAUCCACUGGGGCUGGGUACCCCACAGAAAAAGAACUGUGGAUAACAGCCCAAGAUGGUAUUUUGAAGUGAGUAGACACCUGGAGAAUACAGUCUUCCUGCUACCGGGGUGAUGGAUAAACAUCUUCAAUCAAGACAUCCUGAGGAUCCUACGGGUUUAGAUGAAGGAGACUCUCUGGUUGUGUUUGUUUGGAAGGCGACCUCGGUAAGCAUGGAGCUAGAUGUCAACUGACGAGACGCUUCUGAGAGGGACUCAAAACUGCCGACCUUGGGAAUUUGCUUGAGAAGAGAGAAAUUCUUGGCCACAGAGAGAGUGCUGAGAAGACAGGGGAGUGAAAAGAAUGUGUCAACAGAGUGAGCCAAGCCUGGGGGACAUGGCAGAGCACCACAAGAAACCAUUGCUCGGCAAAGGACUCCUCAGAUGAGAGCGUACAAAAUAUGAUCAUCCCUCAUCACCAGGGGUAGCCCUAGGAUCCUUGCCCAGGGUACCACAAUCUUAGAGUGCUCAAGUCCCUUAUAUAAACAGCAAAAUGAAUUAGGG